rnacentral:rRNA from 2 species
UGGGGAAUAUUGGACAAUGGGCGCAAGCCUGAUCCAGCAAUGCCGCGUGAGUGAUGAAGGCCUUAGGGUUGUAAAGCUCUUUCGCCCGCGACGAUGAUGACGGUAGCGGGAGAAGAAGCCCCGGCUAACUCCGUG